GAGUUUGAUCGUGGCUCAGAACGAACGCUGGCGGCAUGCCUAACACAUGCAAGUCGAACGAAGUCUUCGGACUUAGUGGCGCACGGGUGCGUAACGCGUGGGAAUCUGCCCUUGGGUACGGAAUAACUCAGAGAAGUUUGUGCUAAUACCGUAUAAUGUCUUCGGACCAAAGAUUUAUCGCCCAAGGAUGAGCCCGCGUAAGAUUAGCUAGUUGGUGAGGUAAGAGCUCACCAAGGCGACGAUCUUUAGCUGGUCUGAGAGGAUGAUCAGCCACACUGGGACUGAGACACGGCCCAGACUCCUACGGGAGGCAGCAGUGGGGAAUAUUGGACAAUGGGCGAAAGCCUGAUCCAGCAAUGCCGCGUGAGUGAUGAAGGCCUUAGGGUUGUAAAGCUCUUUUACCCGGGAUGAUAAUGACAGUACCGGGAGAAUAAGCUCCGGCUAACUCCGUGCCAGCAGCCGCCGCCGUAAG
rnacentral:rRNA from 1 species